UGCCCAGUGAGGAGUGUUGGUGG
rnacentral:piRNA from 1 species